AUGCUCACUUCGGCAGCACACAUACUAAAAUUGGAAGGAUACAGAGAUUAGCAUGGCCCCAGUGCAAGGCGACACACAAAUUCAUGAAGACUUCCAUAUUUUU